rnacentral:tRNA from 1 species
GUCUAGUUAGCGUGGUUGAUAGCGCGUUUGCCUUGUAAGCGCUAGGCUGCGGGUUCGAUUCCCGCCCGGGGCG